UGUGAAGAUAGAAAUCGGUGAUUCUGUUAUUGGCAGCAUUGAUUGGGCGUGGAAUGUAAAGCAGAUAAAACCAAGCCACUUACCACUAGGUAAAUCAGAGGCUCGUUCGAUCAUAUGGAGGGCUUGGAGUCUACGCUACUUGGAUUUUAAUCUGAGUGGGUGAAGGCAAAAUGAAUAUGAGAAGAGAGCAAUUAAAAUUAAGAUAAUGCGAGUUGCAACUAAUGUAAUCUGUCUAGGAAUUGGAAUGAAAUUGGCCGGUAUAGUUUGGAACAAGAACUAGACCACUACGGAAUCUUGGAUAUCUUAAGUUGUAGAGACAAUCAAGAGAGUCAGUGGCAUACAGUGGAAAGCACACUAAGGUAAGU